CCUCAUCUGACCACACAGUUCCCCUGGAGGUGGGCUUCUGGCAUCACAAUCCUAAGAGUGAGGGGUGGAGAGGGGAUGCAGCAAGCCUGAGCCCACACAGCUGGUGCAUGGAGCCGGCACCCAUAUGGCCAGGGGCUCCAGCCCCAUCGCAGGACUGGGGCCAGCCACAGAAUGGCUUGUGCCCAUGAGGUGCUUUUCAGGAAGACAGGGUCACCGGCUGACUGCAUCAAGUCCUGUGAAUGUUCACACUCAUAUAACUACCCCAUGACAUCUGAAGCAACUCCAUCACAUCUCCAGACCAGAUCCUUCAGCCAUGACCUCAGUGUCCGUGCGGAGAGUGGGCAGCUGUGUCCUCGUCUGCAGUGUCGGGCAGCUCCGUGUCACCCUUGUGGCCCAUAGCCCCCACUGUUUGGACCUGGCCCCUGGCCUGGGGUGGGCCCAGGAAAUAGAAGCACCAAUGGCCAAGGUGCAGAAUGAAUUCAAGUGUCAACGGAGCCCCGAUUCAGAAGAGUCUGCACACCUGCCGCCUGCCCGCCACUGCAGGUGCCUGAGGCCACAGAGGGCGUCCAUGGCCACUGCAGACUCCACGCACCCUCAGCUCGCCCGCAACAGCCCAGCCAAUGAGAGACUGCCUCAGCUCAGCCAAUGAGAAACCACUAUGCUUUGAACGCCCAGUUUCAUCCAAUGGACUCUCUUUUUACAACAGCCCCCCCUCCAUAAAAGAGCCUCCUCUGCUUUGUUCUGCAGAUUCACCUGUGGUUUGUUCCUGUCUUCUUUGUCCUGGGUUGCAGUUCUCUGCUACUCCCAAAUAAACCCAUUUUUUGCUGGUAGAAUGACUGGUAC
rnacentral:lncRNA from 1 species